rnacentral:rRNA from 1 species
UGCAGUCGAACGGCAGCGCGGGGCAACCUGGCGGCGAGUGGCGAACGGGUGAGUAAUAUAUCGGAACGUACCYRRRAGUGGGGGAUAACGUAGCGAAAGUUACGCUAAUACCGCAUACGAUCUAHGGAUGAAAGUGGGGGACCKYMRGGCCUYAUGCUYSYRGAGCGGCCGAUAUCUGAUUAGCUAGUUGGUAGGGUAAAGGCCUACCAAGGCUACGAUCAGUAGCUGGUCUGAGAGGACGACCAGCCACACUGGRACUGAGACACGGYCCAGACUCCUACGGGAGGYAGCAGUGGGGAAUUUUGGACAAUGGGCGCAAGCCUGAUCCAGCAAUGCCGCGUGAGUGAAGAAGGCCUUCGGGUUGUAAAGCUCUUUUGUCAGGGAAGAAACGGUKVRAGCUAAUAUCUYBBRCUAAUGACGGUACCUGAAGAAUAAGCACCGGCUAACUACGUGCCAGCAGCCGCGGUAAUACGUAGGGUGCAAGCGUUAAUCGGAAUUACUGGGCGUAAAGCGUGCGCAGGCGGUUUUGUAAGUCUGUCGUGAAAUCCCCGGGCUCAACCUGGGAAUUGCGAUGGAGACUGCAAGGCUAGAAUCUGGCAGAGGGGGGUAGAAUUCCACGUGUAGCAGUGAAAUGCGUAGAGAUGUGGAGGAAC